UACGUAGGGACCGAGCGUUGUCCGGAUUCAUUGGGCGUAAAGAGCUCGUAGGCGGCUGUUCAAGUCGAACGUGAAAACUCGGAGCUCAACUCCGAGCCUGCGUUCGAUACUGGACGGCUAGAGUCUGGUAGGGGGAUCUGGAAUUCCUGGUGUAGCGGUGGAAUGCGCAGAUAUCAGGAGGAACACCGGUGGCGAAGGCAGCUCUCUGGGACGGUACUGACGCUGAGACGCGAAAGCGUGGAGAGCGAACAGG
rnacentral:rRNA from 1 species